ACUCAAAGGAAUUGACGGGGCUCGGCACAAGCAGUGGAGCAUGUGGUUUAAUUCGAUGCUACGCGAAGAACCUUACCGAGGCUUGACAUCCUGGGAAGUCUGCUGAAAGGCGGAUGUGCCUUCGGGAACCCAGUGACAGGUAUUGCAUGGCCGUCGUCAGCUCGUGUCGUGAGAUGUUGGGUUAAGUCCCGCAACGAGCGCAACCCUUAUUGUGUGUUGUAUUUUUCACACAAGACUGCCCGGGCCAACCGGGAGGAAGGUGGGGAUGACGUCAGGUCCGCAUGGUCCUUACGCCUCGGGCCACACACGUGCUACAACGGCCGGUACAACGGGUAUGCCAAGUCGCAAGACGGAGCUAAUCCUUCAAAACCGGUCCCAGUUCGGAUUGCAGGCUGCAACUCGCCUGCAUGAAGUUGGAAUUGCUAGUAACCGUGGGUCAGCAUACCACGGUGAAUACGUUCCCCGAGCUUGUACACACCGCCCGU
rnacentral:rRNA from 1 species